AGGAUAAACGCUGGCGGCGUGCAUGAGACAUGCAAGUCGAACGGACGAUCAGGGCUUGCUCUGAUCGUUAGUGGCGGACGGCUGAGUAACGCGUAGGUGACCUGCCCCGAAGUGGGGGAUAACUGCCCGAAAGGGUGGCUAAUACCGCAUGCGGUGGUUCGUUCGAUCGAACUAUCAAAGCAGCAAUGCGCUUCGGGAGGGGCCUGCGUCCGAUUAGCUCGUUGGUGGGGUAACGGCUCACCAAGGCGACGAUCGGUAGGUGGUCUGAGAGGACGAUCACCCAGACUGGGGACUGAGACACGGCCCAGACUCCUACAGGAGGCAGCAGUCGGGAAUUUUGCGCAAUGGGCGAAAGCCUGACGCAGCAACGCCGCGUGAGGGAUGAAGGCCUUCGGGUUGUAAACCUCUUUUAUCAGGGACGAUAAUGACGGUACCUGACGAAUAAGUCACGGCUAACUACGUGCCAGCAGCCGCGGU
rnacentral:rRNA from 1 species